CAGUAGCCACGGUAAUGCGAAGGGGGCUAGCGUUGUUCGGAUUUACCGGGCGUAAAGGGCGCGUAGGCGGACUGAUAAGUCAGGGGUGAAAUCCCAAGGCUCAACCUUGGAACUGCCUUUGAUACUGUUUGUCUUGAGUUCGAGAGAGGUAAGUGGAACUGCGAGUGUAGAGGUGAAAUUCGUAGAUAUUCGCAAGAACACCAGUGGCGAAGGCGGCUUACUGGCUCGAAACUGACGCUGAGGCGCGAAAGCGUGGGGAGCAAACAGGAUUAGAUACCCCUGUAGUCCCUGUCUCUUAUAC
rnacentral:rRNA from 1 species